rnacentral:tRNA from 1 species
GGAUAUGGCUCAGUGAUAGAGUGUUUGCCUGGCAUGCAUGAGGCCCUGGAUUCAAUCCCUAGCCA